UACGUAGGGUCCGAGCGUUGUCCGGAAUUAUUGGGCGUAAAGGGCUCGUAGGCGGUUUGUCGCGUCGGGGAGUGAAAACUCAGGGCUCAACCCUGAGCGUGCUUCCGAUACGGGCAGACUAGAGGUAUGCAGGGGAGAACGGAAUUCCUGGUGUAGCGGUGGAAUGCGCAGAUAUCAGGAGGAACACCGAUGGCGAAGGCAGUUCUCUGGGCCGUAACUGACGCUGAGGAGCGAAAGCGUGGGGAGCGAACAGG
rnacentral:rRNA from 1 species